ACGGGAGGCAGCAGUGGGGAAUAUUGGGCAAUGGGCGAAAGCCUGACCCAGCAACGCCGCGUGAGUGAAGAAGGUUUUCGGAUUGUAAAGCUCUAUCCUCGGGGACGAAGGAAGUGACGGUACCCGAGAAGGAAGCCCCGGCUGACUACGUGCCAGCAGCCGCGGUAAUACGUAGGGGGCAAGCGUUGUCCGGAAUGACUGGGCGUAAAGGGCGUGUAGGCGGUCGAUUAAGUCCGGAGUGAAAGUCCUGCUUUCAAGGUGGGAAUUGCUUUGGAGACUGCAGAGCUUGAGUACAGAAGAGGUAAGCGGAAUUCCCGGUGUAGCGGUGAAAUGCGUAGAGAUCGGGAGGAACACCAGUGGCGAAGGCGGCUUACUGGGCUGUAACUGACGCUGAGGCGCGAAAGCGUGGGGAGCGAACAGGAUUAGAUACCCUGGUA
rnacentral:rRNA from 1 species